rnacentral:rRNA from 1 species
UACGGGGGGGGGCAAGCGUUGUUCGGAAUUACUGGGCGUAAAGGGCGCGUAGGCGGCGACCCAAGUCAGAUGUGAAAGUCCUGGGCUUAACCUGGGGACUGCAUUUGAUACUGGGUUGCUUGAAUUCGGGAGAGGAUAGCGGAAUUCCCAGUGUAGAGGUGAAAUUCGUAGAUAUUGGGAAGAACACCGGUGGCGAAGGCGGCUAUCUGGACCGACAUUGACGCUGAGGCGCGAAAGCGUGGGGAGCAAACAGG